rnacentral:rRNA from 1 species
GGUUAAGUGACUAAGCGUACACGGUGGAUGCCUUGGCAGUCAGAGGCGAUGAAAGACGUAGUAACUUGCGAUAAGCCCAGAUUAGGUAGUAACAACCAUUUGAGUCUGGGGUUUCUGAAUGGGGAAACCCACUUACAUAAGUAAGUAUCGUUAUGUGAAUACAUAGCAUAACGAGGCGAACCGGGGGAACUGAAACAUCUAAGUACCCCGAGGAAAAGAAAU